AACCCUGACUUGCAUCACAGUUGCCAUGACAAGAAUUGGGUUCAAUACAUAUCAGCAGUCGAUAUUUUAAACUGAGAGAAAGAGAAAGGAUUUGCCCACCGUGUCUGCCCAACUAUAGUUGCCCUGCCAAGAAAGAAACAGAUGAAUCAACAUUCCCAACCAUCUCAUGCGAACCAAAUAGAAAUUAUAAAAUAUCAAGAAAAAGGAUCAAGCCACAUUCUCAGCAUUCGAGAUUUACAGAUUAAAAGAGAAAGAGAAUGGUCUUGCUAACCAAGGCUGCCACGCAGUUGCCACGCCAAGAAACAGGCAAUCACAUACUUAGCAGCAUUCGAAUUUUAAACUGGAAAGAGAAUGGAUUUGCCCUGUGGUUGCAACUGUAGUUACCCUGCCAAGAAAUAGAUCAAUCACAUUCUCAACAUCUCAUAUGCGAACUCAAAAGAGAAAUGAUGAAAUAUCAAGAAAAUGAUCAAUCACAUUCUCAACUUUUGAUAUUUAAUAUUAAAUGACAAAGAAAAUGGUCUUGCUAACCAUGGCUACAACUACACUUUCCCCACCAUGGAAUUGGUCAAUCUCAUUCUUAGCUUUUGAAUUUUAAACUGAGAAGAGGAAGAGGAAGAGGAAGAGGAAGGAUUUGUCCACCGUUGCUGCAACAACUAUAGUUGCCCCGCCAAGAAACAGAUCAAUCACAUUCCCAACAUCUCAUAUGUGAACUCAAAAGAGAGAUUUUGUAAGAUCAAAAAAGGUAUCAAUCCUUGAGAUUUGAAAAUUAAAAGAGACAAAGAACAGACUUAUUAAUCAUGGCUACAACUACAGUUGCCCAGCCAAGAAACUGGUAAAACUCAAUCUUAGCAAUCGAGUUUUAAACUGAGGAGAGACAGAGAAAGGAUUUGCCCACUGUAGCUGCAAAUACAGUUGCCCCGUCAAGAAACAGAUCAAUCACAUUCUCAACAUAUCAUAUGCGAACUCAAAAGAGAAAUUAUGAAAUAUCAAGAAAAGUAUCAAUCACACUCUCAGCAUUGAAAAUUUAAAAUUAAAGAGAAAGAGAAUAGACUUACUAACCAUGGCUACAACCACACUCGCCCUGCUCAGAAACGGGUCAAUCACAUUAUUGACAAUUAAUUAACUAAGAAAAGAGAAAGUAGUUGCCCGCCAUGGCUGCAACUAUAGUUGUCCCGCCAAAAAACGGAUCAAUCACAUUAUCAAUAUCUCAUAUGCGAACUCAAAAGAGAAAUUAUGGAACAUCAAGAAAAGGGUAAUCACAUUCUCAACAUUUGAGAUUUAAAAUUAACAAGGAAAGAAAAUGGACUUGCUAACCAUGGCUACAACUAUAGUUGCCCCACCGAGAAACGGGUCGAUCACAUUCUUAGCUGUCGAGUCUUAAACUAAAAAGAGAAAGAGAAAGGAUUUGUUAUACAUGGCUGCAACUAAAGUUGCCCCACCAAGAAACGGGUCCAUCACAUACUUAGCAUUCAAAUUUUAAACUUAAAAGAGAGAGAGAAUUUGCCCACCAUGGUUGCAACUAUAGUUGCCCUGCCAAGAAACAGAUCAAUCACAUUCUCUACAUCUAAUAUGCGAACUCAUAAGAGAAGUUAUGAAACAUCAAGAACAAUAUCAAUCACAUUGUCAGUAUUUUAGAUUUAAAACUAAAUGAGAAAGAGAAAGGACUUGCUAACCAAGGCUGCAACUACAAUUGCCUCGCCAAGAAACAGGUCAAUCACAUUCUUAGCAUUCAAAUUUUAAACUAAAAAGAGAAAAAAAAAGGAUUUGCUCGCCGGGGUUGCAACUACAGUUGCCCCGCCAACAAACAAAUCAAUCACAUUCUCAACAUCUCAUAUGCGAACUCAAAAGAGAAAUUAUAAAAUAUCAAAAAAAAGAAUUAUCACAUUCAGCUUUUGAGAUUUAAAAUUAAUGAAAAGAAAUGGUCCUUGCAACCAGGCAUUUGAUGGGCUACUUACCAUGGCUACAACUACACUUGCCGCACCAUGAAACUAGUCAAUCUCAUUUUUCUUAGCAUCUAAUUUUAACUGAGAGAGAAAGAGAAAGGAUUACCCACUGUGGGCUGCAACUAUAUUUUGCCCCACCAAGAAACAGAUCAAUCACAUUCCAACAUCUCAUAUGCGAACUAAAAGGGGAAAAUUUAUGAAAACAUCAAGAAAAGGUAAUCACAUUCUCACCAUGUGAGAUUUCAAGAAAAAGAAAAAGAGAAGGACUUGCUAACCAUGGCUUCUUCAACUAUAGUUUUCACGCAAAAAAACACGUCAAUACACAUUCUUAGAUUUCAAAAUUUUUAACUUAUAGAAGAUAAAGAGAAAGGAUUGCACCGUUUCGGGCAGCAAACUCGCAGUUGCCCAGACAAGAAUAGAAACAGCAACGAUCAAGUCACAUUCUUAACAUUAAAUAUGGAACUAAAAGAGAAAUUAUUGAACAUCAAGAAGCGGAAUCUCAGUCUCUCCACCUUUUACAGAUUCAAAUUAAACGAAAAGAUAAAAGAACGUGGCUAACCAUUGGCCUUCAACUACGUUCCCCUCCCCGACCACAGCGUCAAUCUCUUCUAGCCUUCGACUUUUACACUGAAAACGAGCGCAAGGAUUGCCCCCGGGGCGGAAACGACGUUGCCCGUGUACGGGCUUAGAUUCUUGAACGCCUGACCGCUUGCGGCGACCUUAGACGCUUUUCCGCAAAUUCGUAAGUAAGUAUAAAUAGCUCUUAAAGACAACCGAAAAGAAGAUAAGAGCAAGUGGAAAAAAGGAAAAUUAAGAGAGAGAAAGCUUGGAGAAUGCUAAAUGGUAUUCCAAGAUUGGAUGAUGGCCUACAAGUGAGGGGGGCCCAUUUAUACAAGUAAGAAUUUCUAGAAUGUUCUGCUUGACUAGAGAAUUCUAUAUACAAGAGUUUCCAGAAGGCUCCACCAUGUUCUAGGUUUUCCACAUUUUCUAGAAUGGGAUAGAGAUUUCUAGAACUUUCCCAAUGUCCAGAAGAUCCAUGAAGGCCCUAGAAUGUUCUAGGCUUUUUGUGUGCCAAUUAAGUGGGUUGUAACAUUCUCCCCCACCUAAUCUGGCGACGCCCUCUGUCGCAGUCUCUUUGAAAGUCGGCGAUCUUGUCCUGAACUGCAUAAGGACUUCUUCUUCUCCCAGCUAGCUUCACUGUCCGGCUGUCCCUUCCAUUUAACUAGGUACUCCACGUACCUCUUUCCCCUUUUUGAAUAAUUCGCCGGGCUAGUAUAGUGUCGACUGUUUGUCGAACGAAGCGUAAUGGAUGUGAGCUCUAAGCGAUUCUCCCUACUCGGGUCUUCCAAAUCCCAUGAUAAGCUUGAGAAAGGCUUUACAUGGAAGACUGGAUGGAUUUUAAUUUUGAGGCACUCAAGUUGGUAGGACACCUUGCCACCUCCUUUUGUGAUGGGGAUGGUCCCCCCCCCCCCCCCCCCUCAUAUCUCCGUGCUAGUCCUUGUGAAAGGCCCCUUGAAUAUUUGGCUUGAUGGGUGAGAAGCUUCACCAUGACAAGGUCUCCUUCUUCGUACUCGCUUUGGCCGCCGCUUGCUUAUCCGCCCAUUUCUCUUCAUUCUUUGGCCGCCUUGGCCAAGUAAGCGUUGCCAUAUCCGGCUUUUUCAUGCCACCCCUUGGCAAAUUUAAAAGCUCCGGGACUUUUGCCCGUAUACCCGGUAGCACGGCGGUUGGCGUUCAAAAAGGGUUGUUUACCCGUAGCAACGCGAAUGGCCUGGAAUUCGUUGCCAAUCACUUCCUGAAGGUUGUUAUGAAAAUUGGCCACGUCGCAGUAAUUUUGGCCCAAUCCUUCUGGUGGCACUCACCUAGUGCCUUAUGUAGAGCUCCAUAAAGCAUUCACCCGUUCGUUGGCCGUCGGUUGCGGUUGAAAGCUUGUUAGAGAAGUUAAGCUCCGUGCCCAGAGCUUGAAAAUCGCGGUCCAAAAGCGCCCCGUGAACGAGAGUCCCGAUCACUGACAUAUUUUUGGAACUCCCCAAUAUUUUACCACAUGUGCCAAGAAUAUAACCGAGCCGUUCUCCGUCUGCGUGCAAUCCUUGGUGGCUGGUAUGAAGGUUGCAUUUUGGAAAAUCGAUCGACCACCACGAUAAAUAGUGACCCUUCCUCGGACUUUGGAAGACUCUGAUAAAGUCCAUGAUUCUCUCCAAGGCCGAUCCGGUGUGGGCAAGGGUUCUAAUAAGCCCGGGAGGGCUUUGUCCCACCUUUGUCUGUUGGCUACAAGCCAAGUCUUCACAUAGAGUUUCCACGCGUCCCGCAUAUGUGGCCAUAAUACGUGCGCUCCACCAUGCAGUGUGCGAUGAUACCCGGAUUUCCGGCCACUUGGAGUCAUGCACUCCUUAAUUUUCUUUGCGAAGCAUUCCCCACUUGGGCAAUAAAUCCCGAUCUCCUUUUGCAAGAGAAGAUCACCCUUAUCCAAAAUGCCGUGUCUUGCCUUGAUGAUGCUAUCGCUAAGAGUUUUGGCCACCGAUCAUGAAAAGCCCUCCUUGUCUCUCCUUCAAAAGACUUGGGGUUGGCUAAUGGCGGCAAGUUCGGCCCUUCUGUCUUAAUGCAUCUGCCCCAAGUUGGCUUGAACCCUGCUUGUACUCCAGAUUAGUCAAAUUCGGCAAGAAAGUCUUUGCCACGAGCCUGCUUAGGAUUACUUCUUUUGGGUCAGAAGUAACUCGUCGCGAUAUUGUCCGUCUGACUACGAACUUGGAUCCAAGCCAAUAGUUGCCUCCAUGUCCGCAAGCAAUGUAACAACCGCGGUCAUCUCUUUUCUUGCACCGUUAGCGCCUUUCGGCGUCAUUUAACUUUUCGGCUUUCAAAGGCAACGGAUGGCCCUCUUGCAUCAAUACUCCCCAAUAGCACAAAUCUGAGGCAUCGGUGUGUACUUUCCGAUGGCUUGUGUGUCGAACCAGCUUAGACGGGUUCCUCCAUAAUUGCUUCUUCCGGCCUUGGAAAGCAUCCUCGACUUAGCCGUCCAUUCCCAUGAAUGGUCUUUCUUGAGAAGAUCCGUCAAUGGUGCCGGCUAUGGCCGAAUAUCCUCGGUGAGUUCGUCGAUAAUAGUUGGCUUAAGCCAAGAAAAGAUCGUAGCUCGGUGACUUUCUUGGGGUUUCCCAUUCUUGAAAUGGCAUGUAUCUUGCCUUGUCCCAUGGCUGAUUUUUGUCCCCCGUCCGCCACAUUUCCCCAAAAAGUUCACUCCGAUUGAGCAAAGCGCAUUUUUCCUGUUUGACAUAAUAGCUCAUUUUCCCUUAAAACUUGGAGGAUUUGUCGUAGAUGCCCCAAAUGUUCUUCAAAGAAGAGCUAUAGAUACAAUGUCGUCCAAAUAUACUACGACAAUCGUUCCAAGAAGGGAUGUAUUAUUUGAUUCUCAAAGUACCAAAUGUGGCAUGGGCCAUGAGUAAGGCCAAAAGGCAAUGACUAGAAAUUCAGAAGGAGCCGUACCUCGUGCACAUGCGUCUUGCUCCGUCCUCCUCGGCAAUCCGACUUUGAAUAAUACCCCGAUCUAAAUCCAACUUGGUAAACCAUCGGCACUGCCAGCCUUCAAACCAAAGCGGCAUAAGAGAAGGGGUAUUUGUUCUUGAUGGUUCCUUGUUAAGUGCCCUGUAGUGAUACAAGGCGAGGGACCCCGUCAUGCUUCCGUUGGAAACAUCGGUGCACCAUAGGGACUUUUUGAUGGUUUGCUGAAGCCGGCAUCCACAACUCCUUCAAUUGCCUCCGUAGCUCUUCUAAUGUCCGGGGUGCCAUCCGAUAGGUGGCCAUGGCCGGUAUCAAAACAUUGGCGCCUACCUCCAAUUCAUGGCAUGGAUCCACCUCCCCUUGGUGGAAGUCUCUUUGGCAAUUCCGGGCAUGACAUCUUUGAGUCUCCAGCACCUCCGCACUUCCCUUGGUAAGCCACCCGUCCUGGUGCUAGAAGUUGCUUCAUUGAGCGUAAAGUGGCAAUGAAUGUAAGCUCUCUUCUUGAGUCCCUCUGGAUAGUUGCAUCGCGGACAAAAGUUUUGGCCUUCAAAGUGUUUCUCUAGCCAGUGGCACCAUGCAUGCAUUUCCUUCGCCCUGAUGCACAUAGUUUUUCGGCGAAGGGCUGGGGAAUGCCCGCACCCCAUCCCAAACUCCAUCCCCAACACAUGGGGUAAUCAUCCAAAUGGGCACGACAGAGAUUCCACUUGGCCGCUCCAAUUGCCAUGUGCAGUCCUACGUUCCCUAGCAACCCAUAUAUAGAGCCGUGCCUUCAGUUGACGGCCUUUAACCAUCCUUGCCCCAUCUUUAAAUUUGAUGCCUAGUCUCUCGGCCUCCUUUAUUUCAUGAAAAUAUGAGAAGCCCCGUGUCAACUAGCAAAAUGGAGGAACCGCAUACCUUGUCCUCACGUAAUACGUCCCUUUUUUUGUGGCUUGGCCGAAUCUACCUUGGCUAAUUGCGUUGAGCAAGCGUAGUCGAUCCCAUCUUGGUCUCCUCUCAUGGGUCUCUUCUUCAUUUGGAUGAGGGCCGAUAACUUGGCUCGCUUUGGGCACUCUCGACAAUGGGCGGACCAUCACUAGAAGCACCUGUAGCUUGGGUUUUAUCGCCGCCCACCUUGUCAUAACUGUGGGGGGGCUUGCCCCUUGUUAUGUGUGGGUGGCUUGGUUCUCGCAUCUUUUGCUUGGUUUGAGGUCUCUCCCCCACUUUUGCCUUGAUAUAAUUUUGCCCCUUUGCUUUGGAAGAAUUCGCUUCUCUUGAAAUUCAACAAGGGAUUCUCCACACAGAUAGCACUAGCAAGAUCUUGAGGCCCCGUCGCUGUCACCUCAACCUUGGGCCCAUGAUUUGUAGGCCUCAACCAAAUGUAAAAAGGGCUUCUUUGUCCCCCCGACACACGGGAAUCUCCAACAUGAGUGCCGAGAACUCCUUCACAUACUCCCGCAUGGGUAAUUCUUGUGUGCGAGUCGGCGUAGCUUGGCACGGGCCUCGUGUUCGGAAUCUCGGGAUAUGAAUUGCCCUUUUUAUUUCCCCUUGAAGUCCUCCCAAGAUUCAUAGUGCAUGUGCCUUCUCAUGUCGGCAUCCUCUCCUCCACCAAGCAUUGCCGCAUCCGCCAAAAUAUAAAGGGGCCGUCUUGAUCUUCCUUAGCAUCAUCUCUAUGCUCAUAGCAUCGAAAUAGUGCUCCAAGUUCCAUAAGAAAUUAAACAGCUCCCUGCAUUUCUAUCUCCAUGGAAACUUUUGGUCUAGGACCAUCAAUUCUAGAGCAACCAAUGGGAGAGAACGUACCUGGGCCGCCGCGGCCUUGCACAAGGAGACAUCUCCCUUCAUUUCCUUCAUCUCCUCUCGUAUAGCGGCAAUGCUCGGCAUGAACUAAGUCAUUUUGGAGUCAUGUACUUCCUCAAGUCAUCGACGACAAGGUUGAGAGUGGCUUGCAUCUCCCUCGGAGUCGCACCCUCGCCUUCUAGCCCCGCAAUGCCUUGGCCCAGUUCCUCGAACUUUUCUUGGCCAUCCGCCACAGUACGCUCGACCUUGUCAAGCCUGGCUUCGAACGUGGUCAUUAUAUCCCUUGACUUGUCCC
rnacentral:lncRNA from 1 species